UACGAAGGGGGCUAGCGUUGCUCGGAAUCACUGGGCGUAAAGGGUGCGUAGGCGGGUUUUUAAGUCAGAGGUGAAAUCCUGGAGCUCAACUCCAGAACUGCCUUUGAUACUGAAAGUCUUGAGUAUGGGAGAGGUGAGUGGAACUGCGAGUGUAGAGGUGAAAUUCGUAGAUAUUCGCAAGAACACCAGUGGCGAAGGCGGCUCACUGGCCCAUAACUGACGCUGAGGCACGAAAGCGUGGGGAGCAAAC
rnacentral:rRNA from 1 species